rnacentral:lncRNA from 1 species
UGAGUUUCGUUGUGAGGAGUUAUGGAAAACGACAAAAUCAUGGUUUCUGUUAUGAUUGGAGUUCAUUGUUUUGUUUCGUUUCGUUUUGUGUUACUCAUGCGAUGGUGUUUUGUUUGUGGGGUCCAUGUUUUGUCUUGUUUCCCGCAAAUGUUCCUUACUAGUCGCUGGUGUAACCGUGGAAGAGUAACCCUUUGUUUUCCAUUUUUUUUUUUUUAUUUUCUUUUUUGUGUUUUUUUUCUAUUCGGGAAAAUCGUUUGUUUGUUUGUUCUGGAAUUCUGGUCGGUCAGAGGAAUGUUGAAACGGUUACAAAAAGAGAGCCGACCUGAUUAUUAAAUAUGUCAUGUCAACUUCAACAUGCGCAUCAAUUGAAUCUUUCUUACUUUGUUUGCUGGCUAAAUUUUUUAAAAU